AUGCCCAUACUAAAGUUGAGCUACAAACACCUGUCAUCUGAAAUGAAGCAAUGUUUUGCAUUUUGUGCAGUUUUUCCUAAGGAUCAUGAGAUGGAGAAGGAAAUGUUGAUCCAAUUAUGGAUGGCAAAUGGCUUUAUUCAAACAGGAACACUAGAUUUAAAACAGAAAGGCGAAUUAAUUUUCGAUGAGUUGGUUUGGAGAUCCUUCCUCCAAGAUAAGAAAGAGAGCACAAAUUUUCAUAUAAAUGGUUUUUCCUGUAAAAUGCAUGAUUUAAUGCAUGAUCUAGCAAAAAGUGUCACAGAUGAAUGUGCAAGUAUAGAAGAACUAACUCAACAGAAAGCAUUGUUAAAAGAUGUUUGUCACAUGCACAUAUCAAAGGCUGAAUUGAAACAAAUCAAUUGGUUAUGCAAAGGCAGAACAUGCCUCCGCACUUUGUUAGCUCCAACAAACUCACACAAGGAUUUUAAAGAACUGCUACACAUAUCGGUAUCACUAAGAGCGCUGCAUUUCCGCCCUUAUUCAAUUGCACUUUGCAAGUCCAUAAACGCAAAACAUUUACGAUUCCUUGACCUCUCUGGGUCUAGCAUCAUUAGUUUGCCAGAUUCAAUAUGUGCGUUGUAUAACUUGCAAACAUUGAGGCUCCUACGUUGUUAUAUGUUGCAUCAGUUACCAGAGAACAUGGCAAGACUGAGAAAGCUCAUCAAUCUUUAUCUCUUUGGUUGUGAUAGUCUCAGAAGUAUGGCUCCAAACUUUGGUGUACUGAACAACCUUCAAAUAUUAACAACAUUUGUUGUGGAUACUGGAGAAGGCCUUGGAAUAGAGCAGCUAAAAGACUUGCAACACCUUAGCAAUAGGUUGGAACUAUUGAAUUUGAACAAGAUAAAGAGUGGGGAGAAUGCAAAAGAAGCCAAUCUCACUCAGAAGCAAAACGUAAGUGAGUUGUUGUUCUCGUGGGACCAAGAAAUAGAUGAUGGGCCAAAAGAUAUGGCAUGUAAUGUGGAAGAAGUGCUUCAGUGUUUAGAACCUCAUAGUAAUAUCCAGAAGUUGGAGAUAAGUGGAUAUGGUGGCCUAGAAAUAUCACAAUGGAUGAGAAAGCCACAGAUGUUUGACUGCUUGAGAGAACUCAAAAUUUCCAACUGCCCAAGAUGCAAGAGUAUACCCGUAGUAUGGCUUUCAGAAUCUCUAGAGGUUUUGUUCUUACAAAGGAUGGAUAACCUGACAACAUUAUGCACUAACCUUAGUGUGGAAGCUGGAGGGCGCAUUACAACUCUGCAAAUUUUCCCAAGGUUGAAGAAGUUGUUGUUGCUUGAGUUACCAAACUUGGAGAUGUGGGCAGAAAAUUGUGUGGGAGAGCCUACUGUUAGCUUGGUAAUGUUCCCUAUGCUUCAAGAGCUAACGAUCAGAAAUUGCCCCACGCUUGCAAGUAUUCCAGUGAUCCCUGUUGUCAGCGAGUUGAAAAUAGUUGGGGUUCAUAGUACUGCAGUCAAUUUAGUUUUGAUGAGCAUCUGUUUGGGCUCUUGGCCAUUUCUCAUCAGUUUAACUGUUGGGUAUGGAGAAGACAUGCCCAUGUUGCCUCUAGACGCCCAUCAAAGCCAUGGUGAAAGACCUCUUGAAAAACUUAAGUAUUUGUAUCUGGAAGGCUGCAACAGCUUGGUGAGAAGCUCCGAAUUGUCCAGGUCACAACUUAUGGUUUGGAAAUGCUUUCAACUCGUGGAAAGUCUGACGAUUAGCGGAUGCUGGGAUCUCUUUCACUGGCCAACAGAGGGGCUCCGGAGCUUGUAUUGCCUCCGCUCUCUAUGUAUCAGAUAUUGUCACUACCUGGAGGGGAAUACUUCAUCGUCCGAGGAGGAAACCCUUCCACUGUGCCUAGAGGAGUUGAUGAUUUCAGGCUGCCGCAAUGUGGUAGCGCUGCCUUCGAACCUUGGAAAACUUGCCAAGCUGAGGAGCCUCUCUUUGUUCGACUGUACAUGCCUGAAAGCGCUGCCUGACGGGAUGUGUGGCCUCAGUUCUCUUAGGAAAUUGGAGAUUUGGAAUUGUCCAGGUAUGGAGGAAUUCCCACAUGGUCUUCUGGAGCGGUUACCCGGCCUCGAAGACUUAACCAUAUAUGACUGCCCGGAGUUGCUAAGACGAUGC
rnacentral:rRNA from 1 species